AUUGAACGCUGGCGGCAGGCCUAACACAUGCAAGUCGAGCGAGCGGCGUACGGGUGAGUAAUGUACGGGGACUGCCCGAUAGAGUGGGAUCACUACUGGAAACGGUAGCUAAUACCGCAUACUAUCGGAUAACCCAUAUGGGGUUAGCUAGUAGGUGAGGUAAUGGAGCAACUAGGCGACGAUCCCUAGCUGGUCUGAGAGGAUGAUUAGCCACCCAGGUGCUGAGACACGGUCCAGACUCCUACGGAGGCAGCAGUGGGGAAAAUGUCUCAAUGGUAGCAAACCUGAUGCAGCCAUGCCGACUGUAUGAAGAAGGCCUUAGGGUUGUAAAGUCCUUUCCGUCGUGAGGCGUUACCGACAGAAGAAGCACCGGCUAACUCCGUGCCAGCAGCCGCGGUAAUUC
rnacentral:rRNA from 1 species